rnacentral:rRNA from 1 species
GCUUAGCCCUAAACACAGAUAGUUGCUCAUACAAAACUGUUCGCCAGAGAACUACAAGCGAAAAGCUUGAAACUCCAAGGACUUGGCGGUGCUCCACACCACCCUAGAGGAGCCUGUCCUAUAAUCGAUACCCCACGCUCCACCCCACCGCCUCUUGCAAUUCAGCCUAUAUACCGCCGUCGUCAGCCUACCUUAUGAAAGAAACAUAGUAAGCAAAAAAGUUAAUAACUAACACGUCAGGUCAAGGUGUAGCACAUGAGACGGAAGAGAUGGGCUACAUUUUCUAACAUAGAAAAUACGAAAAGUGUAAUGAAACACACACCUAAAGGCGGAUUUAGUAGUAAGAUAAAUAAGAGACUUUAUCUAAAAACUGCUCUGGAG